UGAGGAGCCCGGUGUGGCUCUAGGGACUGAUCAGGAGGAGAAUGGGGAUAUGUGGAAAUGCCAAGUCAGUGAAUGUCUCAUGACCUGGAGUCCUUCUGUGGAAGAUGUGAAAGCCCAUGAUGAUUGAGCAAAUAAAUAAUGGGCUGAGGAAUGGGGUUUCAGUUUCCUCAUCUACAAAUGACAGUCUACAAUUAGAGGAUGUCUAAAGUCCCUUCCAACUUUAAAUCCUGUGCUCCAGAUUGGUUUGACUUCCCACUGUUACUUUCUUCAGGGAUUUUGAAUGAAGACAGUGUCAAGGAGGUCAGCUAACCUUCUUCGACUCCUUUGAUCUACCCCCAUCCCCCACCCCAUAGUCAGUAUAACUCGGAAACAUUUUACACUGACUGGGCACUCUGGCUUCAAGAUGAUGCCGUUCUUGCAAGACAAGGGUCAGGCUGAGCCCUCACUGUUUACCGUUGCUGUUGAUGAGGAGACCAGCAGCUGGGUUGAGGCCAGGAAGAACUCGAGCUACGUGGGCAGACAGCAAGGGGAAGGUGCCCAGUCAGCAGGGAGCCAGUGUCUGGUGAAAUCAACAGCAGGUCCAGCAGGUUGUGAUCUGCAAAAGAGGUCUUGUCCCCCACGAGAAAGGCCUAGCUUCCCUGGUUCUGGUUCAGCAGGGUCUCAAAAGGAUUCAGCUGGAUGUGCAGAUCCUUCAAUACCUGUCCUGUCCUUCUCGUAAUUCUGGUAGAUGAGGAAAAGGUACGUGAGCUGGGGGGUCCUCCACCCCAGCAUUAGCCAUGUCCAAGACAGCAGCUUCUUCAGUGUCCCUCCCAUAGAUCUCAGGGUGGCAUUACGCUGAGUCUCCAUCUGUGAAUUUGAGGAGCUGGCCACAGAGACAGCUGGCCUUGAGGUCCCCCUUCAUCCACAUGUCUUUGGUCAUUGUGUCCUCUUUCCUCAUAUGGUCUUGGUCAGCCAGGAGCAUCCGGAUAACCUUGCAUCGCCCUUGGACAGGGACAUAGGUGAUGGAGCAGGAAGCCAUCUCUGGAGAGAGUGGCACACAGGAACAAGUGUGAGCAGGAAGCCACCGUCUCCCUUCUAACCGGGGUCCGGUGCCACUCUGAAGAGGCCUGGCCCUGAUUUGUUAUGCAAUUGGCAUUCAUUGCUUAAUGGACAGGUGUGCUUAGAAGCUUGGACCUUUGUUUCCUUAGUUAUUUCAUCUUUCACCCAUCACAUAUGUUAAUGACAAAAAUCACGAGGAAAUAACAGAAAGAAAAGUUUCAUUCUUAAUAAAUA